UACGUAGGGUGCAAGCGUUAAUCGGAAUUACUGGGCGUAAAGCGUGCGCAGGCGGUUCUGUAAGACAGAUGUGAAAUGCCCGGGCUUAACCUGGGAACUGCAUUUGUGACUGCAAAGCUAGAGUGUGUCAGAGGGGGGUAGAAUUCCACGUGUAGCAGUGAAAUGCGUAGAUAUGUGGAGGAAUACCGAUGGCGAAGGCAGCCCCCUGGGAUAACACUGACGCUCAUGCACGAAAGCGUGGGGAGCAAACAAGGAU
rnacentral:rRNA from 1 species